rnacentral:rRNA from 1 species
AUAGCGUAUAUUAAAAUUGUUGCGUCUAAAAAGCUCGUCGUUUGAAAACUUGUCUGGGCUUUCAACUGUCGCUUAAUCGCGUCGCCGUUAGCCUUGUGCAAAUAUGGAUGACUGUUUUAGCCGUCUUUAUUGACUGGUUUAUAAGAGUCAUCAAAUAUCACUUUGAUUAAAUUAGAGUGCUCAAAGCAAGUGUGUUACUUGGAUAUAAAUGCAUGGAAUGAUGGAAUAUGUUGUUGUUCUAUUUGUUGGUUUUUGAAUGAUGAAAUGAUUGAAAGGAACUGUUGGGGGCAUUCGUAUUGUUGUGAGAGAGGUGAAAUUCUUAGACCACAGCAAGACGAACUACUG